rnacentral:rRNA from 1 species
CUACGGGUUGCUCCAGUGGGGAAUAUUGCACAAUGGGCGCAAGCCUGAUGCAGCCAUGCCGCGUGUAUGAAGAAGGCCUUCGGGUUGUAAAGUACUUUCAGCGGGGAGGAAGGGAGUAAAGUUAAUACCUUUGCUCAUUGACGUUACCCGCAGAAGAAGCACCGGCUAACUCCGUGCCAGCGAGCCGCGGUAAUACGGAGGGUGCAAGCGUUAAUCGGAAUUACUGGGCGUAAAGCGCACGCAGGCGGUUUGUUAGGUCAGAUGUGAAAUCCCCGGGCUCAACCUGGGAACUGCAUCUGAUACUGGCAAGCUGGAGUCUCGUAGAGGGGGGUAGAAUUCCAGGUGGAGCGGUGAAAUGCGUAGAGAUCUGGAGGAAUACCGGUGGCGAAGGCGAACCCCUGGACGAGAACUGACGCUGAGGCGCGAAAGCGUGGGGAGCGAACAGGAUUAGAUACCCGGGUAGUC